rnacentral:lncRNA from 1 species
UUUGCCUUUGCGGAGAUAGCUGACUAUCCAAAGGCUCUCUUUUUCAGCUUUGCUUUUCAAUCAAUCUGUAGUCUUUAUUUGAGGGCUGCUAUCUUUCCCUGUAAUAAUAAAGACAGUUGUUCAUUUUAUUGUUCUCAUUUCCUAGUACGUACAAUUAUUUUCUUCUGAAUAUUUGUGUUGAAAUUUCGAUGAAUUCAGAAUACUAUAGCCUUUGGAAAAGUUUGUACCCAAAUUUAAAGAGUUCCACACUAAGAGCCCGUUUGGACAGAAGAAUUUUUUCACUUUUUUCGAAAUCAGUGUUUGAUCACAAAAUUUUCAAUUUUCACUUGAAGAUUAAUUUUGGAAUUGUUUGAAAAUUUGAAAAACUCCAAAAAGUUAUUUUUAAAAAUUUUUACUCAGAUCACUCACAAAAAUUUAAAAAUAACCCAAAAUUAUAUUCAUGUCCAAACACAGUUCUAAUUUUCAAAUACUAUAUUUAUUUGAAAAAAAAAUCACUUUUUUGAAAUUUGACAAUUCUUAUGUCCAAACGCCCACAAAGUUUUGAGGAUAAAUUACCUAUGAGGGUAGUAUUUUCAGUUCAUGACUCAUAACCUGAUCAUGUGUUACGUGAGACUGAGAACUUUCAUUGUUCAAUUAUCUAAGCAUCAAAAUCAAUGUAUCUCUUGAAUUUGAGGGCGGCAAACAGACGGAUUGAUUAAAUUUGGGCAGGUCAAAAUCCGUUGAGUCAAUAAACGGGUUAUGACUUAAUUCGUCGAAAGUUUGUUUGGGUCAAAAUGGGUUGGAUCAAUAUAAGUUAAAUAACGGGUUAUAACCUAAUCCAUCCAAUUAUUACUCAAAUCGAAGCAACUAAUCUAUGCCCGGCAAGUUACACUUAUUAUAAAACAAAGGCCCUCGGAAGAGCCUGAAGUAGAGAAACCUACAAAUAAAUAAAAAAAUACCUGUCAAAAGCUUCACCUCUGUAAACGUGGAAUAAAGAUCGUCGAGCCGCCGACAACUCCCAGGAAACUCUAUUCCUCUAGAUGAAAAGUUGACAAAAUCAUAGAAUAUGAGAAUUCAAGAAUUGCAACUAAGAUCUGACUCUAAGCCAGUACCAAUUCACAAAAUUUUUAAAGCCUGUGAAAUUACAAAUUUUAUGAUUAUUAAUGUAUAUUCCAACCAACGUUUUACCAAGAUGCCUUCAUCUACUUAAGCUCCGAAGACUUUUUGCUAUAAGACUUUGACCUAACACGUUAACUUUCGGGCCGGGAUGGCGGGUUACAAAUUUAUUGGUCAAAUUUGACACCUCUAGCUGAAUUCAUUGCAAAAUCC